rnacentral:RNase_P_RNA from 1 species
CGAGUUGGCCGGGCGGCCGCGAGGGUGCACAGCCUUCGAGGAAAGUCCGGACUCCACAGGGCAGGGUGGUUGUCAACGGCAACCCGGGGCGACCCGCGGGACAGUGCCACAGAAAACAGACCGCCCCGGCUUCCGGCCGGGGUAAGGGUGAAACGGUGGUGUAAGAGACCACCAGCAUCCCGGGUGACCGGGAUGGCUCGGUAAACCCCACCCGGAGCAAGGCCAAGAGGACACCCCAGGGUGUCUGCGCAGGCGAUCGAGGGCGGCCCGCCCGAUGCCUGCGGGUAGGCUGCUCGAGCCUGCCGGCGACGGCAGGCCUAGAUGGAUGGUCGCCACCGCGACGCCGAGAGGUGGCGCGGUACAGAAUCCGGCUUACACGCCAACUCGUCCG